UCACCCGGGUCGUCACCGGCGAGAAGCUGGGCACUGUGGUUGCCGAUGAGAAGGGUGCGUUCAGUGUGCCGUUCGAUCCGGCGCUGGUGGA
rnacentral:tRNA from 1 species